CCAAUAGCGUAUAUUAAAGUUGUUGCAGUUAAAAAGCUCGUAGUUGAAUUUCGAGACCGGUUUACUGGUCGUGCUUUUGUACGUACUGGUAUUAUUGGUUUCUCCUUUCUGACGAAUCAUAAUGCCAUUAAUUUGGUGUUUUGGGGAAUCAGGACUGUUACUUUGAAAAAAUUAGAGUGUUUAAAGCAGGCUCACGCUUGAAUACAUUAGCAUGGAAUAA
rnacentral:rRNA from 1 species